rnacentral:pre_miRNA from 1 species
GUAUGCUUGACUCCUGGUAUGCCACUCGACUCAGCCACUCCGUCAUCGUGAGUGAUUUUGUCGUGGGGCGUACAGGGAGCCAGGCAUCU